rnacentral:rRNA from 1 species
UACGUAGGGUGCGAGCGUUGUCCGGAAUUAUUGGGCGUAAAGGGCUCGUAGGCGGUUUGUCGCGUCUGCCGUGAAAGUCCGGGGCUCAACUCCGGAUCUGCGGUGGGUACGGGCAGACUAGAGUGAUGUAGGGGAGACUGGAAUUCCUGGUGUAGCGGUGAAAUGCGCAGAUAUCAGGAGGAACACCGAUGGCGAAGGCAGGUCUCUGGGCAGUAACUGACGCUGAGGAGCGAAAGCGUGGGGAGCGAACAGG